rnacentral:rRNA from 1 species
UACGAAGGGGGGCUAGCGUUGCUCGGAAUCACUGGGCGUAAAGGGUGCGUAGGCGGGUCUUUUAAGUCAGGGGGUGAAAUCCUGGAGCUCAACUCCAGAACUGCCUUUGAUACUGAGGAUCUUGAGUUCGGGAGAGGUGAGUGGAACUGCGAGUGUAGAGGUGAAAUUCGUAGAUAUUCGCAAGAACACCAGUGGCGAAGGCGGCUCACUGGCC